UUUCCUGAUUUGGGGCAGCAGCAGCACACACUCAGCAAUUCUUCCCUCACCCUGUCAGACUCACUUCACAGUGCAGAGCUCCCAAGUGGAAGAAGAGCAAGAUAUUUUUUGUCUAGUGGAAGAACUCCAACAUGUUGUUCUGCAGCCUUCUGAAGGUUGUCAUGAGUUCAGUGUGGCUAGGAUCCAGUAUUGCUCAGAAGGUAACUCAAGCCCAACCAGCAAUGUUAGUGCAGGAGAAGGAGGCUGCGACCCUGAACUGCACAUAUGAUACCAGUGAUUUCAGUUAUAGUCUAUUCUGGUACAAGCAGCCCAGCAGUGGGGCAAUGAUGUUUCUUAUCCGUCAGGAUUCUCACAAACAGCAAAAUGCCACAGAAGGUCGCUACUCGGUGAAUUUCCAGAAGACAGACAAAUCCGUCAACCUUGUCAUCUUAGAUUCACAGCUGCAGGACUCAGCAGUGUAUUUCUGUGCUCUAAGGGAGCCCACAGUGAGAGAUGUGUUGGAGGGAGGUGUACCAAAACCCCAGGGCUCGGCAUGAUACAUGCACCUGCUG